rnacentral:lncRNA from 1 species
UUUGAACGCUAUUGGAGCAGUUAAAUCACUCUGGAUCUGUUAGUUUUGAAAGUAGAUUCUUUGGCAGAUUUGCCAUCAGAACGGAGACUAAUACCUGUGGCAUCAAAUCUGUUUUCUUUGCUACACAGAGUUUGAAAACUGUUUUUAAGGUUUUAAGGGCUUAUAUGAUACUUUUAGGGUUUGUUUCCUUUAGAUAUCUCCCAUUGGAAGCAGGUUGCACAACGGCAUGAAGAAUAUGGAAGCAGAGGCAAAUUUGGGAACAGAAUCCAGUUAAUGACAUCUUGGAGGAACUUAGAAACAGGAAGUGACUCAGGAUUGGGAAGCACCAGAAAAAGAGCUGCUGACAUGACAUGGUGACAAGCAUUCUUUGUCAAUUGACUUUUUCUCCCGCCCCCUGGAUCCUAAGGAAACGGCACAGCAUUUCCUUGCCCUGCCCUUGACGUGCUAUGCCUACUCUAAGCUAGAUAGGGGCUUCUGAAAGAAAAACCUAAGGAAGCCCCCUGCUCAUGCCUGGAGGAAAGAACUGCCGACUUUGUCUUUGCCCUCAGCCAAACCGCCACAAGUAUCUUUGUCUGCCUGGCUCUCCUGGGGCCAUCACAGAGGGCUGGGGAUGCUGACAGCCGUAAACUCCAGGCGAGGCAGAACCAAGCAGCUGUUCAUAAGCGAUUUCAGUGCAUGUCCAGUGACCCGAAUGGGACCCGACCAUGGGGAAAAUGAUACAGAACUAGAUCGCUUUCUUUAAAUUUUAUUUUUAGUUUGUGUACUCCUAUGGAAGUGUAAUUUUAUCUUUGUGCUGGGAACACUGAAAAGCACUGACGGGGAGCUCCUUUGGCCUGGCCCAUUUUUCUGAAAGCACGUUGCAGCUGUGGCUUCUGCCCAGCAGGCAGAGACUGAUGUUAGAUCCUGUACCCAGCUGCUGCUGGGAGAAGGGACAGACUCAGCUUCUGACUGCAGGGGCAUCUGCAGGAAGAUCGGGGAAACUGAAGACACUUUUAACUGCAAAAGCCCUAGAAACAGUAAGUGCAAAUUGUUCCGUGGAUUGUUGACUUCACAUUCAAACCAUCGGGAAGUGAUCGAGACUGGAAGCGUCGACAAGGAUCCGCAGGGUCUGGGACCAGAGACCAGCUUGUGAUCCUGCUGUGGAGUGCUAGGGGUCUGCUCUGGGGAGGGGGCUUUGGCCUAGAAGAGACAUGGUACAGGGUGGGAACUGUUACAGUCAUGCAACACUUAACAUCAGGUGAUUCUGUCAUUGUACAAAUAUAGAAAGAACUCACACUAACCCAUACAGCGUAGCCUACUACACACGCAGGCUCUAUAGCCUAUUGCUCCUAGGCUACAAACACAUCCAGUGUGUGUCUAUACUGAAUGCUGUAGACAAUGGCAACACAAUGGUAUUUAUAUAUCUAGACAUAUCUAAACAAAAGGUACAGUGAAAGAUAAAAUAUAUACAGUAUAAAAGAUUUUUUUAAAAAGCUGGGUGUGGUGGCACACUCCUGUAAUCCCAGCACUUUGGGAGUCCUGAGGUGGGAGGAUCACUUCAUCCCAGGAGUUCGAGACGAGCCUGGGCAACAUGGCGAAAACCCAUCUUGACAAAAAAUACAAAAAUUAGCCGGGUGUGGUGGUGGGCGCCUGUAAUCCCAGCUAUUCAGGAGACUGAGGCGUGAGAAUCGCUUGAACCCGGGGGGCGGAGGUUGCAGUGAGCCAAGAUCAUGCCACUGCACUCUAGCCUGAGUGACAGAGUGAGACAUUCUGUCUUUUUUUUUUUUUUUUUGAGACGGAGUUUCGCUCUUGUUGCCCAGGCUGGAGUGCAAUGACGCGAUCUCAGCUCACCUCAACCUCCGCCUCCCGGGUUCAAGCAAUUCUCCUGCCUCAGCUUCCCGAGUAGCUGAGAUUACAGGCACGCGCCACCACACCCAGCUAAUUUUGUAUUUUUAGUAGAGACGGGAUUUCUCCAUGUUGGUCAGGCUGGUCUCGAACUCCCGACCACAGUUGAUCCGCCUGCCUGGGCCUCUCAAAAUCCUGGAAUUACAGGCUUGAGCCACUGUACCCGGCAACAUUCUGUCUUAAAAAAAAAAAACACGGGCCGGGCUCAGUGGCUCACGCCUGUCAUCCCAGCACUUUGGGAGGCCGAGGCAGGCGAAUCACGAGACAGAUCACCUGGGCAAGAGAGGGAGACUCCAUCUCAAAAAAAGAAAAAAAGAAAAUUAAGUCCCCCCCAUGCUCCCGAGUCUUCUUACUCCUCAUAGGUGACCACUGUUCAGUCUACCGUUUCUUCCCAGAAAUAUGUGCACAUACAAGCAUAUACAUAUGUCUACUCUUUGCUUAGCAAACCAUUUAUUCAGCCAAAUUACAAUUGUUGUCUUUGAUAAAGCAGGCUACAGACCUCCAGAUCCUAAAUUGGUGGCACCAAAAUUAGAGAACUUACUUUGUCUUGAAGAGAACACUUGCAAAUUGACCAGGAACCCCUACUGCCAGUGUACAUGAAUUAGACUUCCAUAAAGAUUAUAACUUAGGUGCCAGAAUACACAUUUUGAAAUGAAUGUAGGCCAUCUAAAGGCAUUUUUAGCUUCUAAACAUUAACUUUAUGGGGGCAUAAUUUACAGACAAUAAAUAUACCUGCUUACAGUACAUAGAGUUCAAUUAGUUUUUGUUUUGUUUUGUUUUGUUUUGUUUUGUUUUGUUUUGAGAAAGGGUCUUGCUCUGUUACUCAGGCAGAAGUGCAGUAGCAUGAUCAUAGCUCACUGCAGCCUGGAUCUCCUGGGCUCAAGUGAUCCUCCCACCUCAGCCUCCCAAGCAGCUAGGACUACAGGCACAUGCCACUACAUCCGGCUAAUUUUUAAAUUUUUCUGUGGAUAUGGGGUUCUCACUGUGUUGCCCAGGCUGGUCUUGAAUUCCUGGGUUCAAGUGAUUCUCUUGUCUCAGCAUCCCAAAGUGUUGAGAUUACAAGUGUGAGUCACUGCACCCAGCUGACUUUUUUUUUUCCCACUGUAAAUACCAUUGCCUUCUUUUGAGGGGGUUAUUCUGAGUUUUAAUUACUUAUUGUUUUCUGGUUAUGAAGAUACUACAAGUUCCUUAUUUUAAAAUAGAGACAAUUCAGAAAAUAAAGAGAAACCAAAAGACAUCAAUAAUUGCUCCAUCCCUCAAAAAAAAAAAAAUUUGGCAUUAUUAGCAUUGUCUUUUUAAAAGCAUAUAUGUGGCCGGGCAUGGCGGCUCAUGCUUAUAAUCCUAACAUUUUGGGAGGCCAAGGCAGGAGGAUAGUUUAAGGCCGGGAGUUCAAGACCAGCCUGGGCAACACAGCAAUUCUCCCAUUUCCACACACACACACAGUUUAGGCCGGGCCGGGCGUGGUGGCUCAUGCCUGUAAUCCCAGCACUUUGGGAGGCCAAGACGGG